GGAAGCCUUAGUUUAAUUAAAAUGUCUGAUUUGCAUUCAGGAGAUGUAGAGCGGUUCUAUAGGUUUUA
rnacentral:tRNA from 1 species